rnacentral:lncRNA from 1 species
UAACUACCUUCAAGCCCUAUAUCAGAUUAGGACUUUUCCUUUUACCUCCCAUAAUGUUGCUUCCUCUCCUCUUUUCUCUCUCUCCUUCAACGUCCCUUUACCCUUUCAAGCAAAAUUUUCAGGGUUUUCACCAUGGAAAGAGGUUAGGUACUCCAUUUUUAUAUUAUGGUCUUUUCAAUCACGUGAAUCUACAAACUCUAUCCCAAACGUUCAAAUUUGGACGUCCCUUUGAGCAUGGAUUCAAAAAUUUAAAAGUGAAAUCCCGCCCAAAAUGAAAGAUGGAAGCCCUAAUUUCUUUCUAUAAAUACCCUCUUUCAAGUUCUAUCUCGGGGGGCUGGAGAAGUGACCUCCAUCUUUGUUGCAAAAAGCUUUUUCAAACACUUCUCUAUCCCAAAGCUUUUCGAAUCCACUAUUAGUUGCCCUCUUCAUUAGAAAAGCUUUAAAUUUUAGUCGUUUGUUUUUCUAGAGUAUAUAAAAAAGCCUCCCUGAUUUUUAUUUUUGGCCUUGGUCAAUUUUGAUGUCAAUUUAUAUUACUCCAUUUGAGGUUUGAGUUGUUUUGAGAGUGGUGAGUAGAUUCGGUCCCGAAGCUCUAGUUGUCGAUUUUUUGUUCUUUUGCCAAUAUGUAGUCAUGUUUGCAUCUUGCUUGAUUUAUUGAAAAUUCUCAAUGUAAGGUAAAAAUUUUACUCCAGACAAAUUGUUCUUAUGUUCUACUUUCUUGAUAAAUCACGUGUAAGGUGUAUUAUUUGUUCUAAUGAAUUUAGUUUUCAAUAUGCUAAGUCUGAAAUAUUGAUAUGAUAUUUGUUUUUACGCUUAGAGAUCGUACCCAUAAGAGUUUUGUGUUAAAACUUUCUGCUAAGCAUGUAAUGCUAGGCUCUCUCCUUUUGAUAUUAAAAAUUGUAUAAGAAAAUUUAAUAAGCUCUCUCAUUUGUUUGGUUGAUGAUUUAGAAGUUAUAAAUGUUCAGAAGUCUCGCUCCCUUCCUUUGAUAAAUAUAUAUAUAUGAGGUUUAUUAUAUGAUUCUCCUGGAGACUUAAUUUAAUACGGUGAAAAGAAAGCAUAAAUCAAUGGACAUGUCCUAUUAUCAGUUUCAAACAUAUUGAUUAUUGACUGUCUUAUUUUAGUCUUUAGUAUUACAUGUGAAUAUUUUAGUAAGCAGAUUGUUAAUAAGAUGUAUGCAAAUGUGGUUCUCCGUGAUCUUUCGCUUACGUUGUCUUUUAUUCAUAUUAAAAGUUGACCUCCUUUUAAUUAUUUUUUUGUUUUUCUCUUUAUAUGUACACUUCAGAGCAAAUGGAGUCCUAACGUAGGACUCUCGCAAAAAGGGGUCUCAAGACGAGACUCUAACGCAUCCGUACUUGGAGUCAUACAUUGUGUUUCUUAGAAUGCAUCAACCCUCAAGUAAACGAGUGAAACCUUGGGAUUGUUUAGGGUGUCUUCCUUUAUCAUUUGUUACUAUUAUUGUUAUAUUACUCUGUUUUGUUAUUAGUAGCUCAUCUAUGUGUGACUUGGUUCUUUUAUUUUCCCUGAAGUUUGAGGUUAUCUAUUGAAUUUCAUUUUAAGCACUAGAUUAAUCUUUAAUAGCUAAGGUCAUUUUAUUAUGCG